rnacentral:rRNA from 1 species
GUAGGUGGCAAGCGUUGUCCGGAAUUAUUGGGCGUAAAGCGCGCGCAGGCGGUUCGUUUAAGUCUGAUGUGAAAGCCCACGGGCUCAACCGUGGAGGGUCAUUGGAAACUGGAGAACUUGAGUACAGAAGAGGAAAGCGGAAUUCCACGUGUAGCGGUGAAAUGCGUAGAGAUGUGGAGGAACACCAGUGGCGAAGGCGGCUUUCUGGUCUGUAACUGACGCUGAGGCGCGAAAGCGUGGGGAGCAAACAGGAUUAGAUACCCUGGUAGUCCACGCCGUAAACGAUGAGUGCUAAGUGUUAGGGGGUUUCCGGCCCCUUACGUGCUGCAGCUAACGCAUUAAGCACUCCGCCUGGGGAGUACGGCCGCAAAGGCUG